AGAUGUACCUACGUAGAACCAUAUAAACCAUCAAUCUCUUUAUUCAAAAGUUCUAUAUGAUUUGACAACAUAGUGACCGAAUCAAUGUUAAAAACACAGGCUGCUUUCAUCGAAUUUGUCCUCAUGACUUGUCACUCAUAAUUAUUUAGUGACAUCUCUUCUACAAACUCGUAAGCCUCUUCAGGUAUUUUGUUAUUCAAAUUCCCACCGGCGGAUGCAUUGAUCAAUUGCCUAGUUGAGGGGUUCAAACCG
rnacentral:lncRNA from 1 species